rnacentral:rRNA from 1 species
CCUACGGGAGGCAGCAGUGGGGGAUAUUGCACAAUGGGGGAAACCCUGAUGCAGCGACGCCGCGUGAGUGAAGAAGGAUUUCGGGAUGUAAAGCUCUAUCAGCAGGGAAGAAAAUGACAGUACCUGACCAAGAAGCGCCGGCUAACAACGUGCCAGCAGCCGCGGGAAUACGUAGGGGGCAAGCGUUAUCCGGAUUUACUGGGUGUAAAGGGAGCGUAGGCGGUUAUGUAAGUCUGGUGUGAAAGCCCGGGGCCCAACCCCGGGACUGCUGUGGAAACUGUGUAACUGGAGUACAGGAGAGGCAGGCGGAAUGCGUGGUGUAGCGGUGAAAUGCGUAGAUAUCAGGAAGAACACCGGCGGCGAAGGCGGCCUGCUGGACUAAAACUGACGUUGAGGCUCGAAAGCGUGGGGAGCAAACAGGAUUAGAUACCCUUGUAGUC